AAAAAAAAAAGGCUUAUUGAGUAGCUAGAACGUACAAAAAUAUGAGCCCCAGUCCUUCUCCAUGCCUGACGUCCAAAGUUGCAUAAAAACUACAAGGGACCCAACCAAUGAGUCACAAUCGGGUCCAAUUUUCAAGGUCCAAAAUGAACUGGCCCCAUAAUCUUCCAGGUGGUCAUCAUUGUGGCCCACUUUGACGCCUUCUCCCAGGAACUUGAUGUUUGAAUCCUAAGAAAAUGUGGGGAAGAAGAUGAAGAUAGCAAAAGAAGAAAAGCCCACUGCACUGAAAAUCCAUACAUAGACAGUGAUGAACAGAUGAGAUAGAUACACAUUUCUCUCUCUUUUUUCAUUGCGACAAACCUCACAUUUCUUUCUCUCCCUCCAUUGUUGGUUCUCUCUCCAGCCAUCCACUCAUAGCAACUACUGAUCCCUCGCCAUCGAUG
rnacentral:lncRNA from 1 species